UUAGCUUAGUUGGUAGAGCACCCGCUUAGUAAGCGGGAGGUCGUCGGUUCGACUCCGGCAGAA
rnacentral:tRNA from 1 species